rnacentral:tRNA from 2 species
GGGGGGUUAGCUCAGCUGGGAGAGCGCUACGUUCGCAACGUAGAGGUCGUGGGUUCGACUCCCAUACCCUCCA